rnacentral:rRNA from 1 species
GAGUUUGAACCUGGCUCAGGAUGAACGCUGGCGGCAUGCCUAAUACAUGCAAGUCGAGCGAACCACUUCGGUGGUGAGCGGCGAACGGGUGAGUAACACGUAGGUGAUCUGCCCAUCAGACGGGGACAACGAUUGGAAACGAUCGCUAAUACCGGAUAGGACGAAAGUUUAAAGGUGCUUCUGGCACCGCUGAUGGAUGAGCCUGCGGCGCAUUAGCUAGUUGGUAGGGUAAAGGCCUACCAAGGCGACGAUGCGUAGCCGACCUGAGAGGGUGAACGGCCACACUGGGACUGAGACACGGCCCAGACUCCUACGGGAGGCAGCAGUAGGGAAUCUUCGGCAAUGGGCGAAAGCCUGACCGAGCAACGCCGCGUGAAUGAUGAAGGCCUUCGGGUUGUAAAAUUCUGUUAUAAGGGAAGAACGACUUUAGUAGGAAAUGGCUAGAGUGUGACGGUACCUUAUGAGAAAGCCACGGCUAACUACGUGCCAGCAGCCGCGGUAAUACGUAGGUGGCGAGCGUUAUCCGGAAUUAUUGGGCGUAAAGAGCGCGCAGGUGGUUGAUUAAGUCUGAUGUGAAAGCCCACGGCUUAACCGUGGAGGGUCA